rnacentral:lncRNA from 1 species
CCAAAUGACUGCGGUGUUGUAAUAUAUGAAGUCUUGCUUGAGAAUACUGUGGGCACCUGGUUGUUGAAGGUAGAAUAUAUAUUGCAACAACAAAAUCUCAACUCUAAUAGAAUAUUAACUAAAUUCUAAUUAGACCAUAAUAAUGCUAAACAAGAUUUAAUCAAAUUCAAAGAAACUUCAAAGGAAUUACAAAGAAUUAAUAAGAAAUCUUAAAGAAAUAUUAGAAUGAUGACAAAUAUAUUUCUAAUACAUCUCAAUUCAAUCUUAAUUUAAUCCUAGUUAAAAUCCUAUUGGAAUUCAUUCAAACUUUAGGCCAAAAACUAACUAAAUCUUAAAUCCUAAAUAAAUGCUAAUAAAAUCCUAAAUUCUAAACCAAAUCCUAGUCAAAUCCUAAAUAAAACCCUAAUCAAAUCCUAAAUCCUAAAUCAAACCUUAACCAAAUCCUAAACUCUAAAUCAAAUCCUAAUCAAAUCCUAAAUCAAAUCUUAGUAAUUCCUACAAUAAAUUUAAACCUCAAUUACUAAUGAAUUAACCAUUGAUCUU